rnacentral:siRNA from 1 species
GAUCGACACGGGAAGCUCAGUUGA